UACGUAGGGGGCAAGCGUUGUCCGGAUUUAUUGGGCGUAAAGAGCGUGUAGGCGGCUGGGUAGGUCCGUUGUGAAAACUCGAGCUCAACCUCGAGACGCCGAUGGAAACCCUCCAGCUAGAGUCCGGAAGAGGAGAGUGGAAUUCCUGGUGUAGCGGUGAAAUGCGCAGAUAUCAGGAAGAACACCCGUGGCUAAGGCGGCUCUCUAGUACGGUACUGACGCUGAGACGCGAAAGCGUGGGGAGCGAACAGGG
rnacentral:rRNA from 1 species